GACGAACGCUGGCGGCGUGCUUAACACAUGCAAGUCGAACGGAAAGGCCCUGCUUUUGUGGGGUGCUCGAGUGGCGAACGGGUGAGUAACACGUGAGUAACCUGCCCUUGACUUUGGGAUAACUUCAGGAAACUGGGGCUAAUACCGGAUAGGAGCUCCUGCUGCAUGGUGGGGGUUGGAAAGUUUCGGCGGUUGGGGAUGGACUCGCGGCUUAUCAGCUUGUUGGUGGGGUAGUGGCUUACCAAGGCUUUGACGGGUAGCCGGCCUGAGAGGGUGACCGGCCACAUUGGGACUGAGAUACGGCCCAGACUGCUACGGGAGGCAGCAGUGGGGAAUAUUGCACAAUGGGCGGAAGCCUGAUGCAGCAACGCCGCGUGCGGGAUGGCGGCCUUCGGGUUGUAAACCGCUUUCGCCUGUGACGAAGCGUGAGUGACGGUAAUGGGUAAAGAAGCACCGGCUAACUACGUG
rnacentral:rRNA from 1 species